AAGUCGUAACAAGGUUUCCGUAGGUGAACCUGCGGAAGGAUCAUUAACGAGUUUUGAAAAGAGUUGUAGCUGGCCUUUAAAAUCAUUAACCAAAUAAAAAUAAAAAUAAAAGGCAUGUGCACACUCUGCUCAUCCACUCUCAUAUCCCUGUGCACUUAUUGUAGGCUGGGUCGGAUGACUGGCUGUGAAAGGCCGGUUUGAAAAGCCUUGUCUAUGUUUUAUUACAAACAAGCUCAGUUUAAGAAUGUCAUAUUAUAUUAGCGUGUAACGCAAUAAAUACAACUUUCAGCAACGGAUCUCUUGGCUCUC
rnacentral:misc_RNA from 1 species